GAGGAAUGUAAAAAUCAAUAUUGUACUAAGGGGUUUGGUUUGAGUUAGAUAGGAGUAUGGGAAAUGACUAUUCCAAAACUCAAGGUUUCAAAAACCAUGAAAGUGGUUGAACCAAUCAAGGACUCCUCAUCAAGAUAUUUUAAGGUUUUUCUAUGGUGUUUCAUCAUACAGGACCUACUUGGUUUGUUUUUUUGCUUCAUUUUAGGUACUUAAAGUUUCAACAAAUUGCUGUUUUGGUUAGAAGAUGAGAAGGCUUUUUAGUUUGAUUUGAGGGGUAUCAAUGUCAAGAAUAAUUUCAUGGCUUCUGGGAUUCCUCCACUGGAGCAGCAGACCAUGAAAUGGAAAAGCAUUAUAUGCAGAAUCUCUAGAUCCUAGUGAUCCUAAUUCCUGAGACAAAUUUAGUUUUUUUUUUGUUCUGUACUUCAAUUUUAUUUUUUUCCCUGGAUGUUUCUGAUUCCUGUGAUACAUAAUAUAUAUACUUUUCCUAAAGCAGUGAUGCAAGCUGUUCUCUGGUGAAUAAGUUAAUGAAUCUUAUGCUAUUUUCCUGAUGAUGUUGAUUGUACUGCUUCACCACACUAACUGCAAACAUAAGAAUAUCCAAUGAACCAAUGGUAGCAGAG